AGCAUCAUGUUAUAGAUUUGUUACUAUUUUUCUGCUUAUCCUUUCUAUUAUGCCUGAGUUAGUCCUAGUGGGAAAGUCGGUGAUGUUGGGGCCGAACCCACUGGAAACUUUGUUGUAGUUCUCACCCCACUAUUUCCACAGAGCCGGGACCGAGCGAGCCGGCGAGCGACCGAGGUAAAGGUAUCGCACCUUAGUCAGAGGCCACCAGAGUUGGGUUUACAUUUUGUAGUAGCAUUCCCUUUUAUCAUCUUUUGUAUUUGAUGAUUUAAAAUGUUGAUGUAUAAAGCAAAGAAAGAAAAGAAUGUAGAGUUUUAUUUUGAGGCAAUGUGAUGUAAAAGGAAAUGAUGAAAAGUAUGUAAAGGACUAUGAAUGCAAUAUAUGUGAUCAAAAGUUGAAUCAUAAUACUUGAGUAGCUGUUUAGUUUCCUUUCUUUCACUUAUGGUUAUUGCUUACCUUCGUGUAAGCCGUAUUUG
rnacentral:lncRNA from 1 species